rnacentral:rRNA from 1 species
AUUGAACGCUGGCGGCAGGCCUAACACAUGCAAGUCGAGCGCGAAAGUCUUCGGAUGAGUAAAGCGGCGAACGGGUGAGUAAUGCAUGGGAAUCUGCCUGGUAGUGGGGGACAACGUCUCGAACGGGACGCAAAUACCCCAUACGCCCAACGGGGGAAGGGGGGGACUCUCCGGACCUCUCGCUACAAGAUGCGCCCAUGCCGGAUUAGCUAGUUGGGGGGGUAAAGGCCCACCAAGGCGACGAUCCGUAGCUGGUCUGAGAGGAUGAUCAGCCACACUGGAACUGAGACACGGUCCAGACUCCUACGGGAGGCAGCAGUGGGGAAUAUUGGACAAUGGGGGCAACCCUGAUCCAGCCAUGCCGCGUGUGUGAAGAAGGUCUUAGGGUUGUAAAGCACUUUCAGUGGGGAGAAAGGUGAUUCACCUAAUACGUGAGUCAAUUGAUGCUACCCACAGAAGAAGCACCGGCUAACUCCGUGCCAGCCGCCGCCGUAA